GACGUAGGAUGCGAGCGUUAUUCGGAUUUAUUGGGCGUAAAGCGUGCGUAGGCGGCUGUUUAAGUCUGGUGUUAAAGCUAGGGGCUCAACCCCUGUGGUGCACUGGAAACUGGGCAGCUUGAGUGCGGUAGGGGAAGGUGGAAUUCCGAGUGUAGCGGUGAAAUGCGUAGACUAUUCGGAAGAACACCGAUGGCGAAGGCAGGUCUCUGGGCCGAUACUGACGCUGAGGAGCGAAAGCGUGGGGAGCGAACAGG
rnacentral:rRNA from 1 species